GGCAGUGAUGGUUCAAUGGUUGAGUCUCUGGUUUACUGCUCAGAAGGUUGGGGGUUCAAGCCCCAGCACUGCCC